GAUGAAGAACGUAGCGAAAUGCGAUAAGUAAUGUGAAUUGCAGAAUUUAGUGAAUCAUCGAAUGUUUGAACGCACAUUGCGCCCCCUGGUAUUCCGGGGGGCAUGCCUGUCCGAGCGUCAUUGCUGCCCUCAAGCACGGCUUGUGUGUUGGGCCUCCGUCCUCCUCCCGGGGGACGGGCCCGAAAGGCAGCGGCGGCACCGCGUCCGGUCCUCGAGCGUAUGGGGCUUCGUCACCCGCUCUUGUAGGCCCGGCCGGCGCUUGCCGACACAUCAAUCUUUUUUCCAGGUUGACCUCGGAUCAGGUAGGGAUACCCGCUGAACUUAAGCAUAUCAAUAAGCGGAGGA
rnacentral:misc_RNA from 1 species